GCUUUGUGUGGGAGAGAGCUGCACCUCCUCCAGCUUUGACCAUAUAUAUCAAGGCAAAGGAACUAGUCUGCUUGAAAUUGAUUGGUCCUGUCUUGGAGCAUGCAGAGGCUGAUAAACCCAUCACGUUGAGGAUGACCUCCCUAUACCUGAAAAGGAAACCUUCACGGCAGGCAGGCAAGCAGCGGUGUAAUGGGAUAUAUGCUGGAGAAGAGAAGAAAGAAGAGUUCUUCUCAUGUUCCUGUUGGCAGUGCGAACCCGUUUGAGACUGAGGAGCAGGAGGAGGAGCAGGAGGACGCUAAGCAUUUUGAGAUGUCGGUGAUGAUGAGGCACUUGCAACAUCAUCACCUGGUGGUCUUUGCUGUUACUGGCAGCACUAGGCCUUGAUUAGCAGCAGCAAGACACUUGCUCCUGCUCUCAACCAGGAGACAUUGCCAUUUGUGCAGUGGGCACAUUUGGCAGGUAAGUGGGCUGAUUGGCCAGAGUCUCAUCUCAUCACCUGGACCAUCAAGGCGAUGACAGGUCUGGACAACCAAGCAUUCCUUGUGGUGGAGGAUGUGGUGGAGCAGCAAGCAAGCUGCUCUGACUGCUUGCCCCAAACUACCAGAUCCCCUCAUGCACCACCUUCAGCAAACGAAUUGUGUCCUCCCUGUACUGGGGGUGUAGGGAUGUCAUGUCAGGGCUGCUGGAGUCAGCAAUAUCUGACACCAGCAUGCACUUCACUCUGGAUCAAUGGACCAACCAUAGUGGGAUGCACGCUUCUUUUCUGUCCCUCAUGGUACUCUGCUGGGGCCAGGAGAAAGAGGGGACAUCUGCUGCUGGUGGCAUGGCCAGCCUCUCCCUCGAGACUAACUAACUUGUGUUUCACUAACUGCUCUGGUGGUCUGCUCCAUCUGCAAUCUGCAGUCUGCAUUGCAAGGUGUACUCACUCAGUCAAAAUGUGGCUGAAGAGGUUGUUCUUCUAUUUGAGCUCAGCUUAUGACUAUGCUUGCAAUGGCUGCUGCUGCUGCUCCUCUUGCAAUGGAGUGUGUUAAUGUGUGGUAGAGCAACUUGUGCCAAUUAUGCAGCGUGGGUGCUUGGCAUUCUGGCUGGCAGGUUCUGGGUAAGGGAUUAUUUUUUUGACUGUGUUUUGUGCUGUGUUCUGCGUUGGGAGUAAGAUUCCCUUUUUUGUACUGUGGUGCGUGUGAGUUUCACUUGUCUGGCAGUGUGCACUGUUUCACCCACAAGGAUUAAUGUGGAAUAGAACCACCCCAUUUAUUCCCCAUGGGUGGGGCCUAGAGACACCAAAGUGGGUUGGGCGGUAGGGCAUGAUGGGUGCUACCUACCACCUGACCCACAAAACAGUUUUAAAGGAAUUUUGGAAAUUUUUCUGGAUCAGCUGGUCCUUAAAAAUCACCUGACUGCCCAGUUGUUUUGUAGGUUGGGUGGUAGGUAGCAGCUAUCAUGCCCUACCGCCCAACUUGCUUUGGUUCCAUAGGCAUACCACCCAUGGUGGAAUAAAUGGGUUAGUUCAAUUCCCCAUUAUUUCCUAUGGGUGAACCAGCUUGAACUGGUUCAACGUGCAAACCAAACUGGCCGCAUGGUUCUAUCAAACUGGUUCAUGAAUUGGCAGUAUGGUUCAAAUUUAGUUCGAAUUUGAAUUGAACCGCAGAAACCGGUUCCGUGCACAUUCCUGCCCAUUGAAAGUUAGGAUGUGAGAGACUAGGGUUCUAGCAUUGUCUUCUCUCUGGUUGGCCAAUUUUCUUUGUGCAGGGAAAAACCUCUCUAUAUAUGUUUGUGUGGGAGCAUUAAAAAAAAUGCAAUCAUGCAUAUGCAUGCUGAGAACCAAAUCGGAACAAAUGGUGACAGAUUGGGGAUUUGGUGUAGAUGGUACCAUCUGCUGACAUGUUAGCAGUAACAGAUCAUGAGGAAUAACAGCCAAUCUAGAUACUGGAUGCAUCAGAGUCAGAUGAGUGCCUGGAAUAGAGAUGUCUUGUUAAGACAUAGCUGAAAAUUGACAUAAUUAAUUGUAUAUCACUUCAAUUUUGUGGGUAGUAUUAAUGCAUAUUUGAUAAUGCCUAUCAUGCAUAUCAAAGCUGAACUAUUAUAAAAUGCAAAACUACAAAUAAAAAGCUAAAAUAAAAAUAGGAGGGUUUUUUUUAUAGCCAAAAGGGAAUCUUUUGGUCCAUCUUUAAUUUUAUUUCUAAUUAU